rnacentral:rRNA from 1 species
UACGGGGGGGGCAAGCGUUGUUCGGAAUUACUGGGCGUAAAGGGCUCUUAGGCGGCCAACUAAGUCGGAUGUGAAAUCCCCAGGCUUAACCUGGGAACUGCAUCCGAUACUGGAUGGCUUGAAUCCGGGAGAGGGAUGCAGAAUUCCAGGUGUAGCGGUGAAAUGCGUAGAUAUCUGGAGGAAUACCGGUGGCGAAGGCGGCUUCCUGGACCAGCACUGACGCUGAGGCGCGAAAGCUAGGGGAGCAAACAGG